GGCCAUAUGUACUGUAAAAGGUUGUACGAUACAUGUGCGAAUAGGUAAUUCGCAACUCGUGUCAAUUUAAAACACUCCCUUCGGUCGUGUUUUAAUUUAUCGCCACUCGUUACGAAUUUUCUAUUUUUCGCACUUGUAUCGUAAUGUACUAUUACAGUACAUAUGGUCCUAUUUUCCCGCACUAGUGCGUAAAAUAGCACUUUUCGU